rnacentral:rRNA from 1 species
GGUGAACGCUGGCGGCAUGCCUAACACAUGCAAGUCGAACGAAAAGACAGUAAGAUCGCGCUCCUACGGGUGGCGACUGACGGACGAGUGAGGAAUGCAUCACAAUCUACUAUUACGUGGGUAACUACGUGGAAAAACUUCUGCUAAUACCUCAUAUAACCAACGGGUUAAUUCAAUAGUGCAUCACACUUUGCUCGACACAAUGAGCUGGUGCCGCAUUAGCUAGUUGGCUGGGUAAAGGCUCACCAAGGCAACGAUCCGUAGCUGGUCUGAGAGGAUGAUCAGCCACACUGGAACUGAGACACGGUCCAGACUCCUACGGGAGGCAGCAGUGGGGAAUCUUGCACAAUGGGCGAAAGCCUGAUGGAGCAAUGCCGCGUGGGUGAUGAAGGUCUUCGGGUCGUAAAGCCCUGUUAUUAGGGAAGAAAAAAAGUGUAAGUAACUAUGGACGUUUUGACGGUACCUAAACAGAAAGCACCGGCUAACUACGUG